CAGGCGGCUGCACCGCCUCUUCCGCCGCCGCCAUCUUAGGUUCGGGCAACUCUGGAGCGGUUGGGUGGGGGAAAGCAGAAUUCUGGGAGUUGUGGCCUGGCAGGGCGAGCAUUAUUCACCAUAGCCAAGAUCUAGAAACAACCUAAGGAGCCAUCAACAGAGAAAUGGAUAAAGAAAAUGUGAUAUGUAACAUACAUAAAAUGGAAUAUUGAAGCCAUCCUCCCAGCUAAAGCCCAAGAAUUCUUGAUGAAGUAUCCAGUGGUCCUGAUCCAUGGGUUGUGCCUAGCUAAUUUAAAAAGAAAAGGAGGGUCACCUGUGUGGCUCAGUCAGUUGAGCGUCUGACUCUAGAUUUCGGUUCAGGUUAUGAUCCCAGAGUCCUGGGAUCGAGCCUUGCGUCGAGCCUUGUGAUAGGCCCCGCGGAGCUGCCAUACCAUGUUUCACAGUGGCUGCACCAUUUACACUCCUACCAACAAUGCACAAUGCACCUUUCAACAAAGGUCUUCUUGGAAUGCAACAUUUGGAGUCCCUCUUACAUCUGCUUGCCUCUAGAACAAAGCUGAACUUGUUGACCCAUCCCCGUGAAGUGAAGCUUGAAAAGAAUUCUCUCCAUGUUCCCAAAUCCCUUUUUAAGUCAAAGUGCCUCCAAAUUGCCUCUCCUUGUAGACCUUCUGUGACCCACAGUAUACUGGAGAAAAGCAGAAUCUCAGUCCCCAUCCC